rnacentral:rRNA from 1 species
GAUGAACGCUAGCUACAGGCUUAACACAUGCAAGUCGAGGGGAAACGGCAUUGAGUGCUUGCACUCUUUGGACGUCGACCGGCGCACGGGUGAGUAACGCGUAUCCAACCUUCCCAUUACUGUGGGAUAACCUGCCGAAAGGCAGACUAAUGUCGCAUAGUCUUCGAUGACGGCAUCAGAUUUGAAGUAAAGAUUUAUCGGUAAUGGAUGGGGAUGCGUCUGAUUAGCUUGUUGGCGGGGUAACGGCCCACCAAGGCGACGAUCAGUAGGGGUUCUGAGAGGAAGGUCCCCCACAUUGGAACUGAGACACGGUCCAAACUCCUACGGGAGGCAGCAGUGAGGAAUAUUGGUCAAUGGACGGAAGUCUGAACCAGCCAAGUAGCGUGCAGGAUGACGGCCCUAUGGGUUGUAAACUGCUUUUGUAUGGGGAUAAAGUUAGGGACGUGUCCCUAUUUGCAGGUACCAUACGAAUAAGGACCGGCUAAUUCCGUGCCAGCAGCCGCGGUAAUACGGAAGGUCCAGGCGUUAUCCGGAUUUAUUGGGUUUAAAGGGAGCGUAGGCUGGAGAUUAAGUGUGUUGUGAAAUGUAGACGCUCAACGUCUGAAUUGCAGCGCAUACUGGUUUCCNNNAGUACGCACAACGUUGGCGGAAUUCGUCGUGUAGCGGUGAAAUGCUUAGAUAUGNCGAAGAACUCCGAUUGNGAAGGCAGCUGACGGGAGCGCAACUGACGCUUAAGCUCGAAGGUGCGGGUAUCAAACAGG